GAACUGAAGAGUUUGAUCCUGGCUCAGAUUGAACGCUGGCGGCAUGCUUUACACAUGCAAGUCGAGCGGCAGCGCGGGACUCAGGCAACUGAGCCCUGGCGGCGAGCGGCGAACGGGUGAGGAAUACAUCGGAACGUACCCCGGAGUGGGGGAUAACGCCGCGAAAGCGGCGCUAAUACCGCAUAUGCUCUGAGGAGGAAAGUGGGGGCUUCGCAAGAACCUCACGCUCUGGGAGCGGCCGAUGUCCGAUUAGCUUGUUGGUGGGGUAAUGGCCCACCAAGGCGACGAUCGGUAGCUGGUCUGAGAGGAUGAUCAGCCACACUGGGACUGAGACACGGCCCAGACUCCUACGGGAGGCAGCAGUGGGGAAUUUUGGACAAUGGGGGCAACCCUGAUC
rnacentral:rRNA from 1 species